UAACCUGCCCAAGAGAUCGGGAUAACACCUGGAAACAGAUGCUAAUACCGGAUAACAACAGAUGAUGCCUAUCAACUGUUUAAAAGAUGGUUCUGCCAUCACUCUUGGAUGGACCUGCGGUGCAUUAGCUAGUUGGUAGGGUAACGGCCUACCAAGGCGAUGAUGCAUAGCCGAGUUGAGAGACUGAUCGGCCACAUUGGGACUGAGACACGGCCCAAACUCCUACGGGAGGCAGCAGGG
rnacentral:rRNA from 1 species